GCGCCCAAUGGCAAAGCUACUUAUAUUUCAUCAUAACAAGCAUAAAAAAUAAUCAAAAAGGAUUUGUGAUUUUAU
rnacentral:sRNA from 1 species